rnacentral:rRNA from 1 species
CAGCCGCCACGGGAACACGUAGGUGGCAAGCGUUGUCCGGAAUUAUUGGGCGUAAAGCGCGCGCAGGCGGAUCAGUCAGUCUGUCUUAAAAGUUCGGGGCUUAACCCCGUGAUGGGAUGGAAACUGCUGAUCUAGAGUAUCGGAGAGGAAAGUGGAAUUCCUAGUGUAACGGUGAAAUGCGUAGAUAUUAGGAAGAACACCAGUGGCGAAGGCGACUUUCUGGACGAAAACUGACGCUGAGGCUCGAAAGCGUGGGGAGCAAACAGGAUUAGAGACCCGCGUAGUCCCUGUCUCUUAUACA